ACACAAAGCGGAUGCCGUCGUGUUUAUGAUUUAAAGAAAUGAUACAGAGAAGAUUAGCAUGGCCCCUGAGCAAGGAUGACACGCAAAUUCGUGAAGCGUUCCACAUUUUU